rfam:Myotis lucifugus cont2.63468, whole genome shotgun sequence.
GGUGGUUCUCCGGUGAUGCACCCUAGAAUUGGGCUCCCUCAUCUCUGGUUCCAGGUGCAUCACCCAAGAACCACA